rnacentral:rRNA from 1 species
GACGAACCGUGCGAACGUUGUUCGGAAUCACUGGGCUUACAGGGCGCGUAGGCGGGCGGCCGCGUCCGGGGUGAAAUCCCACGGCUCAACCGUGGAACGGCCUCGGAUACGGGCGGCCUCGAGGGGGGUAGGGGCAUCUGGAACUGUGAGUGGAGCGGUGAAAUUCGUAGAUAUUCGGAAGAACACCAGUGGCGAAGGCGACUAACUGGACAGGUAUUGACGCUGAGGUGCGAAAGCGUGGGGAGCAAACAGG